AAUUUGUAAAUCAGUAGUUUGGAUGAGCAAUGCACGAAUUUGCAUGCCUCCUUCUUUCCAGCUCUUGAAGUAAAGCAGAUCUGUAAAAGCACAAAUGAUUAAAAUAUUUACAAUUCCCUCAUAGGUCUAAAAACAGCAGGGUGUUAUAAAAAUUUGGUUACCUGUACUGUUCAUAUCUCAUUACAAUCAAUUGCAACUCUUGCUUAUAGAGCCGAGUAAGCAUAUCAGAGUAGCAGUCUAGCUCACUCAAACGAAACAUAUUCCAUCUCAAUUUAUGGUCUAGCUCUUGAUCAGCUAAAAUAUAAUGAUAUUUAAUUAGAAGGAAAUUAUUAU